rnacentral:rRNA from 1 species
AUUGAACGCUGGCGGCAGGCCUAACACAUGCCAGUCGAACGAGUCGCGGACGGGUGCGUAAUGUCUGGGAAACUGCCUGAUGGAGGGGGAUAACUCCUGGAAACGGUAGCUAAUACCGCAUACCAUCGGAUGUGCCCAGAUGGGAUUAGCUAUUAGGUGGGGUAAAGCCUCACCUAGGCGGCCAUCCCUAGCUGCUCUGAGCGGAUGGCAAGCGACACGGGAGCGGGGAAACGGUCCAGACUCCUAAGAGAGGCAGCAGUGGGGAAUAUUGCACAAUGGGCGCAAGCCUGAUGCAGCCAGGCCGCGUGUAUGAAGAAGGCCUUCGGGGUGUAAAGUACUUUCAGCGGGGAGGCGUUACCCGCAGAAGAAGCACCGGCUAACUCCGUGCCAGCAGCCGCGGUAAUAC